CAGCAGCCGCGGGAAUACGUAGGGUGCAAGCGUUAAUCGGAAUUACUGGGCGUAAAGCGUGCGUAGGCGGUUUGUUAAGUCUGUUGUGAAAUCCCCGGGCUCAACCUGGGAAUGGCAAUGGAUACUGGCAAGCUAGAGUGUGUCAGAGGAUGGUGGAAUUCCCGGUGUAGCGGUGAAAUGCGUAGAGAUCGGGAGGAACAUCAGUGGCGAAGGCGGCCAUCUGGGACAACACUGACGCUGAGGCACGAAAGCGUGGGGAGCAAACAGGAUUAGAUACCCCUGUAGUCCCUGUCUCUUAUAA
rnacentral:rRNA from 1 species